UUUUUUUUUUUUUUUCUGUUGAUAACAACAUAAAUUUAUCAUCUAUAAAUUGAUAUAGUUUUACAGUUCUCUGUGUGUAAGAUCAAUUUUUCUUUGUUGAUAUUUUUUUGCAGUUCUCUAUGCGUAAGAUCGAUCUUAUUUUCUGUUGAUAACGAAAAAAAAAUUACCAUCAAACUUUCUGUGUCGUUGUUUAUAUAAAUCAAUGAACCCUAAUUUUAUUUUUCUUUUGUAUUUCAUGUUCUAUUGAUGCUCAUGUUAUGUUUCAGGGAAUAAUGACAUACGUAUUUUAGAUAUGUUAUGUUUUACUGUAUAUUUCCCUCUAUUUCACAUCUAUUCUCCAUUUUCUUCUUUUUUUCCCUGCUCUAAAAAUCUUUGUCCCAUCAGAUGAUUUGAUCACUUCUCCAUUCAUGCAAAGAUUCCCCUGGCUAAAUCCUAACCAUAUUCUUCUCUUUUGAUUUGUGUUUGUUAUGUUUAUGUUUCUCUCUUCGUGUAUUUUAAUCUUAUGUUGUUGAUUUUUUGUUUUGAUUUCGUAGUCAACCUGGGAUCUUGACACAGAUAUUGGACGACAUAUCCCUGCAUCUCAGAGUCUCAAACUCUUGCCAAACCAACAAACUAUCCCAAUUACAAUCAGCUGACUAGCAUCGUGACGUAUCACUGUAACCAGAAUACAGGUUGAGAUAAUUUCAAAUUAGAAGAUACUCCGGGAUGACAAUACAAAGCUUUUGCAGGCAUAAUGGAAGUUUCUUGCCCAUGAAACGGUUACGUAAGUAAUCUUCCAUUAAUACCUGACCAUUUGACUUUCUGCAGGUGAAAAAAAAGACAAAGAAGUAUAGAAUGACAACCAAUUGGCAGCAUUACACGAUAGCACUACUGUUCCAGUCUCUUCAAAGUAUCCACUGAAGAAUAAAAGAAUAGAUGGAAAGAAGAACUAACCAGUUCCAUCAGUUUUUUUUUAAUAGGUUACCAGCUCCAUCUGUUCGGUAUGAUUAGCAUCUUCAAAUGGCUUUACAGUUUUUUUUUUUUCCUUUCUUUUUUUGCUUUCCACGAGUAAGCAGAAGUCUUAAAAUGUUUCGGUCUCCCAACGUCUUAAAUUCAGUAUCCAUCAUAUUUACUUGCCAAUUAUUUCAAGUGGCUUUACAGUUAUUUUAAGGAAUUAUUUUAAUUCGUAUAAGACAUAUUUAUGCGAAAAUCUAUCUACUUAGAUUUGGCCAAUUUGUGCCCGUGCAAAGCAAUGUUUGUCUGAACCCUGCAGCAGCAAUAGUAUACGCACAGAUUUUUGAAAAAUGAUAAGCAAGCUCGGUGUAAGGAGGAGGGUAUGAAUGAUGCUUGCAUGAAUAUGUCUUUUUCCUCCGGUUUGCACAUUUUGAACAUCGCUUUCAGUUGGAAACUAAGUAUAGGGCGAGGCUGGAUUAUGCCAAAGAGAUCAUGGCAACGAGUUAGAAGAUGCUAUGUUGUACCAGAAGCUCUAAUGGGUGGUGACUCUUGGUACAUUGGAGUUUCCAUUAUUACAUCACACGGUGGUUCUUGCCAUCUAAAUAGUUAAUGCAUGGUUGAAAUAAUAGUUAGCGUAUACUAGAAGGGGAUUAGUAAGUCAAAUAUUUUCUCAGUUCUCAUUAGCAUCUUUUUUUUUUGUUCUCUUUAGCAUGGUUAUUUUAUUUACGUUGGACUUGAAUUGUAUGAAAAAUCAGGUAAUUAAACUUAAUUUCCAACUGUCCUUCUCAUGUUGAAGGGUGUUGAUACUA